GGCUUCCGUUUUGUUCCCGCCACAAAGGACCGUAAAAAUAUCGCGAGAUUUCGUAGAGCGCAACCGCGGUUUUAUUUGCUCAAGCUCAGAAAAAUCUGAAAGGGAAAACUGUCCUGCUUUGGAGAAUGGUGGUGGCUACGGGUUACGGUUCAUUCUUCAGCUCCGUGAACAAGAACUGGGAUUCCGGUAACAUCUUUCCGGGGCCUGUCCAAGAUCUGAUACACCAGCACUCAUAAGCUUGCCACAGGGAAUUCAGAGUGACAACGGAUCGGCCUUUAAGGCAGCCGGAACCCAGGGAGUGUCCCAAGCUUUAGGAAUAAAAUAUCAUUUGCACUGUGCUUGGAGACCACACGUAUCAGGAAAAGUGGAAAAAACAUGACUUGAUGAAACGUCGCCUACAAAAACUAUCACAGGAAACUCAUCUUCCCUGGUAAUCCCUCCUUUCCUUGGCCUUAAUACAGAUUAGGGAAACUCCUAGGAGUCAGGGGCUUAGUCCAUUUGAAAUAUUAUAUGGACGGCCCUCUCUUAGAAAUGAUCUCCUGCUUGAUCAGCAGACGGCUGAACUUACGAAGUAUAUGAGCAAUCUAGCCGUUGUUCAACAACAGCUUUCGAACUUGAAAAACAGUCUAGAUCAGAGGAAAGAAAGUGAGAAACCUCUUUAUCACUCAGGGGAUAUAGUAUUAGUAAGUCCCUCCCCAACAAUUCUCCUUCACUGGAGCCUAUCUGGGAAGGACCCUGCACUGUCAACCUUUCCUCCUCUACCGCUGUUGAGGUUGCAGCACAAUCUUGGAUUGGAUUCACCACACAGGAACCAAAGCCUGGAACCUGGAGAAAGAAGAUGCCCCACCCUCAACUACCGAGGAAAACUCCCCUGAAUACCAAUGCAACCCUCUGGAGGAAAUCAAGGAACCCUUCCAACAAACAAGGGAACAAUCAGAAUGAAACGAGUGGUCAGUGUAAUUGCUUUUCUCUCCUUUGCCAUGGGGGAUUCUUCCACUUCCUUACAGUGGGUACAGGGAAAUGUUUUGUCUCCUGGGCUCACUCCUAUGCCUACUUCCAGAAUCAAUCAGACUGCUGUGUCUGCAGAGCAUUACCUAUGUCGUUUGUAGAAGGAUUCCACAUAGGGAAACAACUGCUUGCAAGUAUGUGAAUUCCUGCAUCAGAAUGGGACUGAUUCCCCACAAGAUCUCUGGACAGCAAAUAAGUUGUCCUGUCCAACUCCAGCUUUUGGCACUACCCUCCAGAACUGGUUAACAUCCUCUUCCUGGUGGAAAUGUUUGUUUACAACAAUCGCAAUCAUCAUGUGGUCUUUUUUUUUUUUUUCUUUCUUUCUCUUUUUAGGGCUGCACCUGAGGCAUAUGGAAGUUCCCAGGCUAGGGGAUGAAUCAGAGCUAUAGCUGCUGGCCUACACCACAGCCACAGCAAUGGCAGAUCUGAGAUGCAUCUUUGACCUACACCACAGCUCAUGGUAACGCUGGAUCCUUAACCCACUGAAUGAGAGCAGGGAUCAAACCUGAAUCCUCAUGGAUCUAGUUGGGUUUGUUAACCACUGAGCCAUGAAGGGAGCUCCUCAUCAUUGUGAUCUUGAUUCUCUUAUUUGGACCCAGUAUAAUUAAUUGUAUUUCCUGCUUCAUCGAAUCCUGAUUAGAAGCUAUUAGAUUUCAGAUGGUAAUAGAAGGGGAACCCAGUGCGAUAUAUCAAAGCCCGCUUGACCGUCCCAUGAGUGGAGACCUAACUCCUUUCCCCUAACAAAGCCCCUUGUCAGCAGGAAGCAGUCAGAGCGGUCUUUACCCCUCACCCUGCAGUUAGAGUCUCCAACUUUAGAGGGGGGAUUGAGGCGGAAUAAUUCUGGUAGUUAGUGUAGGAACACGGGCUUCCAUAUAUUCCCUGAUUAAUGUCCACGGUUUUAAAUUUGUAAAAACAAAUCAAGAUAAACAGCCCUUGCUUGUUGGAAGAUUAACUACUGAAAGUACAUCUGUGGACAUUAACCUCUGAUCUACACAUUUGGCUGCUAGAAAAGGAAUGUAAAGAAUGGCAACUCUAAGUCUAAGGGAAAGAAGAACAAAAGGACCAUAAAGCCUAUGGAGUAUAUCCUGACUCUAAGCCCCUAUUGGACAAGGCCCAGUAUAGGUGCUGGGCAAGGCCAACAGGGAGCAGGACUGAUAGCAGGACCCCAUGUUGGUACCCCUGUCUUUAAGAGAUAACACCUCCUUAGAAAGUUAGUGUGUGGGAAAUCUUCCUCUCCCUCGCAGUGUCUGUGCUGGGAGCUAUCUGCCUUUCUCUAAUAAAGACUUUUGCUUUCUUGCU